AGUGAACGCUGGCGGUAGGCCUAACACAUGCAAGUCGAACGGCAGCACAGUAAGAGCUUGCUCUUACGGGUGGCGAGUGGCGGACGGGUGAGGAAUACAUCGGAAUCUACUUUUUCGUGGGGGAUAACGUAGGGAAACUUACGCUAAUACCGCAUACGACCUACGGGUGAAAGCAGGGGAUCUUCGGACCUUGCGCGAUUGAAUGAGCCGAUGUCGGAUUAGCUAGUUGGCGGGGUAAAGGCCCACCAAGGCGACGAUCCGUAGCUGGUCUGAGAGGAUGAUCAGCCACACUGGAACUGAGACAGGGUCCAGACUCCUACGGGAGGCAGCAGUGGGGAAUAUUGGACAAUGGGCGCAAGCCUGAUCCAGCCAUACCGCGUGGGUGAAGAAGGCCUUCGGGUUGUAAAGCCCUUUUGUUGGGAAAGAAAAGCAGCAGGUUAAUACCCCGCUGUUCUGACGGUACCCAAAGAAUAAGCGCCGGCUAACUUCGUG
rnacentral:rRNA from 1 species